CGAAUGGCUGAAUCUCCUGACUUAGCAAGUGCUUACCACUGUAAGCUACGACAGGCAUAUGAUACGGACGACAAGUUGAAGAAUGCUGACGUUUUGAGACGAAGUGAGAACCAUCUAGUAAGACUUCUUGAUGAAGUGGAACUCAAACUUGGUGAAACAUCAUAUCUAGCUGGGGAAGAAUUCAGUCUAGCUGAUGUAAUGCUCAUUCCUCUUCUAGCUAGAAUAGAACUCUUGAACUUGGAAAACGAGUACAUAAACAGUCGUCCAAACAUAGCAG
rnacentral:misc_RNA from 1 species